rnacentral:rRNA from 1 species
AGUGAACGCUGGCGGUAGGCCUAACACAUGCAAGUCGAACGGCAGCACAGUAAGAGCUUGCUCUUACGGGUGGCGAGUGGCGGACGGGUGAGGAAUACAUCGGAAUCUACUUUUUCGUGGGGGAUAACGUAGGGAAACUUAUGCUAAUACCGCAUACGACCUACGGGUGAAAGCAGGGGAUCUUCGCACCUUGCGCGAUUGAAUGAGCCGAGGUCGGAUUAGCUAGUUGGCGGGGUAAAGGCCCACCAAGGCGACGAUCCGUAGCUGGUCUGAGAGGAUGAUCAGCCACACUGGAACUGAGACACGGUCCAGACUCCUACGGGAGGCAGCAGUGGGGAAUAUUGGACAAUGGGCGCAAGCCUGAUCCAGCCAUACCGCGUGAGUGAAGAAGGCCUUCGGGUUGUAAAGCCCUUUUGUUGGGAAAGAAAAGCAGCAUGUUAAUACCCCGCUGUUCUGACGGUACCCAAAGAAUAAGCACCGGCUAACUUCGUG